CGCGAGGGGCAGCCCCGCCCCAACGGCUCUAACGGCCGCGGCGCCGCGUGGGCGGGGCUGCGAGGGGAGCAGUGAGGGGCGGGGCUCCUGCCUCCUCCGUCCUCUUGAGGGCGCUGUGGCGGCGAGUUUUACUUUCGUUUCCUUUCGUUGUGCUGCGGCUGAAACGUGUGCUUUUUAAUAAAAAGGGUGGAUGCAUUCGAGCAGGUUCCUGCUUCCAGGAACUUUUGCUUCUGAAGAGCUCUUUGUCCGCAGCCCUCCGCUCUUGAGUUUGUCAGAGUGGCGUUUCUCCCUCUUCUUUCAGCUUUUCGGGGGAGAAGAGGCGUCAUUGGCAUGAGUGCCAAGCAUCAGCUGGUGUUUUUCCCUUCUUUGGGAGGUAGUGGCGAGUUGUACUACUGUAAGCAUCUCUGGAUUACAAAGCCACCCACUCUCCUGGGACCUCUCUGCUGAGGAAAACUUACUGAAGUUACAGUGGAUAAAACUAAAGAUCUCAAUUAUGACAGAUGAGAAAAAUGCCACAGGUGCCCCUCAGUUCCUUCACUUGUCAGACAUUCUCACGGCUCAUUUCACACCCAGGCUAGCUUGAUGUUACAAGGUAUGUGCAGUCUUCUAAUUUACGGUUAACAAGUCCAUAUUAUCUUUGUAAUCCCUGUUGCCAUGCAAUAGCAAUUUCCAGUGCAGGUUCUACUGAGUGCUACAAAUAAUUUUUUGAAAGUUUACUGAUAAUAAGAAACAGUUCUUGAGGAAUGAGAGAAAGCUUAUUAUAAUAAAUGUUUGCAGGUGUUAAAUGAGGAGCAUAUUUGAAAUACAUGUAUGUAACAGCCUAUUAAACUGGAGUCUCAUAAUAAGAGAUGGAUAAUGAUAAAGAAGCCUAUAUAUUUCACAGCUCAGAAGUUAAUUUCUUAGACUUCCAUUAUUCAAGGAAAUCACAUUCAAAUCACUGUUCAAGUGACAGGAGUUUUCAUACUUACAGUAAUCUCCUGUAUUGACAGUACAUCAAAAAUAGUUCCCUGAAGAAUAAGGCUAAUUUUCUAACUCAGUCAGCCCUCACUUUGAAGUCUGAAUUGGGAUGGUGAUGGAAAAGUUUCUGCAAAGGUUGAAGUACAGAGCCUUAAAGCAUUCUUUAUUCUUCCAGUAUAAUGAUGGCAAAUCUACCCUCUCUCAUUUCAACCCUUUGAAUAAGUUCCUAAAGCAGAGAAAGGCAGUUUCACCUUACUGUGCUUAACUCUUUCAGUUCCUUUCUCUUCUAGAUCUUGUCCAACUGCCAUUAAUCCUACAUGAUAUCUUAUUUCAAGAUUUUGACUAAAUUACAACAGUGAAACUCUUUCUGACGCUUUUGCAUAUGUCAUAGGCUCUUGUUAAAGUUGCUUAAUUACAUCCAGUGUUUGAAGAGGGAAGAUUUGCAGGGCUGGGCUGCCCAUGCAGUACUGAAAAGCUGGGAAUAUGCCUAUUGGAGUUGGGAGGUCUGGGUCAGAAAGGCCUGCAGUGGCUGUGCCUUUUCUCCAGGACAGAAGGUUCUGCAGCUCCUUCCUGGCUCUUCCAAAGAUGCUGAGGUGGCACGCUUUUGCUGUGAACUCACCCUCCAUUGCUGCCCUGACCCCAGUCUUGUGCUUUGUGUGCCAACCCCUGUGCAGCAAGUGGUGUAAAACCAUCUUUGCUCCAGCAGCAUCCUAACACUUGCUAAGGGGCACUCUUCAGAUGUAAUGUUGAAAGAAAUAAUGUAAUCUCAUAAAUCAACACUUCUUAAUAUUGAGUUAGAUGUUUUAUGAAAGUGAAAUGAUGCUACAAACUAAUUGUAUGUUUAAAAGUUUAACUUCUCUUCCUCUUCCAA